CCCAGACAUUCUUAAGUUUUUUGCGUUCCCAGAUUGAGAAUAAAAUAAAAGAGUAUGUGGCAAGUACUGAAGUAGGCAAUCCUAAGCCAGUCUCAUAUGCUUCAAUAACACAUUCCAGAAAGAAAAUGUUGCAUUUAUUUUUUNNNNNNGAAACUGUUAUCAGUUAUCAGUGUAUUUCCACCACACACUGAGUGCUUAAAACUACUUGCUUCCGUAUUGUAGAUGCCUAAAUUAUUGAAGAUAAAUGCCUAAACCUUUCCUCGAAGCGUAUUUUGCAUGCAAUUCUUCAGUGCAAGAAAUUCUUUCAGGCAAAUAUCACGCUCAAUUUCUGGAACCUUUGCUGCAACACAGCCUCCAUAAUCUUUUGCCUGGGCAGCACAGUUCACUAAAAUGCGCUUGAGUGUUGAAGUAGUAUUCCUCUCUUUCAUUUCCACAAUACUAUAAAAGAGAUGCCUACAAGGAAACACAAAUC
rnacentral:misc_RNA from 1 species